AUGCUGACGAGUCCCAAAUAUGACGAAACGCGCGUCUUGGAU
rnacentral:hammerhead_ribozyme from 1 species